rnacentral:misc_RNA from 1 species
AAGUCGUAACAAGGUUUCCGUAGGUGAACCUGCGGAAGGAUCAUUAAAGGAGAAUGAAAAACCACAUUGUGCAAGACAGUACUAUAAAUUAUAAUUAGUUGGAAAAAUUUAAUAGAGACAACUUUUAGCAACGGAUCUCUAGGUUCUC